AAAGAUCGCUCACGGAACCUCUUCUGCGGUUGACUUCGGUCCGCUCAACCACAGCUCCCACGCUCCUGCCUGCGUCGAUUCCUCCCGUCCGGCGACCGGCUACUCAAGCGCGGCUUCAUCCCCGACCCCCCCUUCGACCCUCCUACCAUGGCAUCUCAGCCCCCGUCCGAUCUCCCACACCAGAAACGGUGGAGGUAAGGCCUAGCGAUUGCGGCGACACCGGCGGGAAGCAGUCAAGCUGAGCAGAAGAGCAGCGGCUAGAGGAGCACGCGCUUGCGGCAGCGACCGGCGGACAUGCGUCCAGGCGAGCAGUGGCCAGCGGCGACCUGCUGGCAGGGCAGGCAACGGCAAGAUGGGACAGGCGCGAUGGUGCCCGGCGUUGCGCCGUUGCUGCGAUGGCGGACACCAAGGCCAUGUGCCCUGCUUUCCAUGCCGCCAACAAUGGCGUCAUGUUCGCUGCCAAAGUUGCCUUCCUCAUCCCCGCAGGUUCACCACCUACGCGAUAUUUGGUGUCAUCAGUUGACACGGAGCUGAGGUGCUCUAGGAGGGCACAACUCAUCCCUGGUCUCUACUGGUGCCAAGGUCAUGGGAAACCUCUCCCCUGAGCUUCGAUGUCUCCUGUCCCCUGGCGAGAGAAGUGCCGCCUUAUUAUCCAGAGUAGGUAAAGCUUGCUCCUUCCGUUGUGUGAAUCCUGUCAAGAUCCAGCUGUUCUUAUUCAGAAGCACGCCCUGAGGUGAGUUGAAUUGCUUGUUCUAUUUAAAAUUUGGGAGAUGGAUUUGAGUUCUUAGGUGUUAUAUGGUCCCAAACUAUGAAUCGUUGGAUUAGCUAGAUGUAUUCUUGUUUGUGUAUUAGAAAGUUAAAUUUCUGCAAGUUUGUAUAUAUCCCAAGUCUGGCCUAUUCAACAAGAUGAGUCCUUGGCAUUGUGAAGAAAUUUGGGUUAUUUGGUAAUUUGUACCAUAAAAUUGAUGCUUUAGUUCAGUCAGUGUUGUGAUUCAUUAAUUUUUAUAUACAAAGGGACUGUUGUUUGCGGGCUGAAAUUGUUGGUAUUGCUGAACAGUUAAAAUGAGAAUAAUACUACUCCCUCUGAUCGAUAUUACUUGAUUCUAAAAUGGAUGUAUCUACAACUAAAAUAUGUCUAGAUGCAUCCAUUUUAGCAUCAAGUAAUAUGGAUCGGAAGGCAGUACUACUAAACCUUUCAGGCAGUUACUUCCAGCGAAAAUGGAGGAUGAUGUGUGCUUCACCACAUCGUAAAUCCUUUACCUCACAUAGAAAUUGCGUAAAUUAGUAGUGCAUUUUUGUUUUUCAUUAUACUAAAUGCAUAGCUGAGCCUUAUCUCAUUUCUUAUGAAAGCUUGAAGAGAAAAUCCAUGGCAAGGAACUUGGAUGAACAGAUUUUUAGGAUUAACCUAACACAAUAAUUGCUUUUAAAAUAUUUAUGUGUAACUCUCGUAUUACAUAUUUUAUUAUACGAAUUAACUCAUUACUUACGAGAGUCAGGAGACAGAAAUUAAACAUAUUAGGAAGAGCAUGAUAUUUAAGGCAUCUUCUGAAAGCUGAGUUGAAAAAUAUACUAAUGUCGGUUUACUUUAUCCUACUGAGGUUUCGAUUUCUUCGAUGUAUAUAGUUUGUAUGAUUCAUGUGUAUGAUUCAUGUCCAUCUAUUUUUUCUAUUAAAAGCAAUAUUCACAUAUGGUUCAGUAAGAAAUGCUCACGUAUAAUGUAAGUUCUGGUGUGUUCUGUGACUUGUGAGUGUUGUCAUCAUAGGACAAAGUAUUAACAGUUUCUUUCAGGCUUGCAAUUCCAGGAAUUUUGUCACAAUAAUACCUUUUUUGCAAUUCUAAGGUUAAUAAGGUGAAUACAUGAACGACUGUCAAGAAAUCUUGCAUAUCUACCCACUAGCUAUACGUUACAAGGAUGAUACCAUUUUUUUUUUCUUUUUUCUUGAGUUCUCUACUUUAUGGUUCCUGGGAUAUGAGAAAUUGUGUUGAGUUGAAUUGAUUCUUCUAUUUAUAAUUUGGUAGAUGGAUUUGAGUUCUUAGGUGUUAUGUUUGAGAAUCAUUGGAUUACGUAGCUGUAUAUUCAGUUUGUGUAUCAGGAUGUUAAUUUUUUUCAAAUUUUCCUACUCAGCCAGAUGAGUCCUUGCUUGUGAAGGUUGGUGUCGUGCAGACAUAGCUUAUAUUUUUCCAAUUCAUUCCCUAUAACAGUUGUGAUGUUCUGGAGUACUACAUUCUUAUUAAACCUUUUACUUCACUGGAUUUCAUAUCUAAACUUAUAUCUAUCGUGUCCCAGAUUUGGAAUUAAAUCAUGAAAUUAUCUUUGCAUUGUUUUUUUUGGAAAGUUAAGUGUCCCCUGCUAGGAUAACCAUAUGAGCUGAUGCAUGAUUUUUUAUCUCUUGUAUUUAAUUAUUCUAAUCUACUUAAUGGAGUAGGUUUUCUGGUAGCAUUAUUGGCGUCUUCACGCUUCCUUCUGUGCCAAAUAAUUGUGAGUAGUUGCCUAUGAUAUAAUAUAAGCUUAUAUGUGUGCUUAAAUCUUAUGAAGUAAACUUGCCACUGGUUUGAUGUGUAUCAUGCGAUUUUUACCUGCCAUAUCUAAUUUAUUCACUUUUCAAUUUGUUUAAUUUUACCUCAUUGCUCCUGUUUUAGGCCCUUUGUACUUAACCUGACAAGAGCGGUAAGGAAUUAUCUCGAAAAUGGCUGGUCGGUACUUGGCGGGCAGCAGCAGAAGAGCGUAGAAUGUUUUUAAGACUGAUGGCCAGAUCAGUGCAAAUUUAAGGAGAUGAAUGUAGUCCUGCGUUGAUGGUUCCGAUGAGGCCAGUUAGCAAAUAGGAAGGCUGGGAUAAAGCCAUCAGAUAUGAUGAGGAUGCAUUAUAUCCUGCUUCAAGGUAUAACACUAGCUUUUGAUGCCUUACAGACUGAAGCUGCAAUGACGUGACUUGUACCUACCAAAUGAACAUGUCAUGACACAUUCAAACUGGCUGCUUGGCCUGCUGCAGGUCUGAAAGAAGAGCUGACAAGGAAUCUUGGUGUAAGCAGUCAUCUUUUGGACUAUUUCCUUGCUGUUUCUUCGUAAAUUUCGUGAAAUAUCAUGCCGAGCUUGUAUCAUUAUAGCCGACUACAUAAUUUUGUUUGUUCUAUAUAAUUCCAUGUGACAUUUCGUACU